UAAAUUGUUCAUUAAUUGUGAACUGGAAUGAAGGAAAAAAUGGUUUAAAUCUGUCUUAAAUACUAUAUGUUAAAUUUAAAUUUUUUGUAAAAAUACAAAAAUUUCUCUUAGGGACAAGAAGACCCUAUAAAGCUUAACUGAUAUUAUAACAUAAUUAGUUAUUAAAAUCAAUUUGAUUGGGGCAAUAAUUUAUAAACAAAUAAUAUAAAUUUAAUUUAAAUAAUUAUAUAUUAAUAUAAUGAUCCAUUAAUAAUGAAAAAUGAUUAAGUUUCUUUAGGGAUAACAGGAUAAUUUUUAUUAGAAAGUUCUUAUUAAUAAUAAAGUUUAUUACCUCGAUGUUGAAUUAAUUUAAUUAAAUGGUGAAGUAGCCAUUUUUAAUUUGACUGUUCGUCAAUUAAAUAAUUACAUGAUCUGAGUUC
rnacentral:rRNA from 1 species